rnacentral:lncRNA from 1 species
CAAUGCAAACAGUACCCUUUUCAGUCUUUCUCAUAUGCAAUCACUCAACCUUGCUUUCAAUGACUUCUCCAACUCUCAAAUUCCAUCCACCAUAGGUGAGUUUGGAAGCCUCACACACCUCAACUUGUCUUUUUCAAACUUUGAAGGUGAAAUUCCUCCUCAAAUCUCACAUCUUUCCAAAUUACAAUCACUUGAUCUUUCUCAUUAUGAGUUUCUGUUAAAAUGGGAAGAAGGCACAUGGAAGAGGAUGCUCCNAAAUGCAACCGAUUUAAAGGUGCUACAUGUGGAACGUACUGAUUUGUCCUCAACUUUAAUGAGGCCACUCAAUUUGUCUUCCUCCUUGAUCACUCUAAGUCUUGAACAAACUCGGCUAAAGGGAAAGUUGACCAAUGACAUUCUUUGUUUGCCAAAUCUGCAACACCUAUAUCUAUCNGGUAAUUUUGACCUUCAUGGCCAACUUCAGGAUCUGAGUUGUGCUUCAGCUUCUCUAAAUGUCUUAAAAAUCUCAAGUUGUGAACUCGAUGGGCCAAUCCCUGAUUCUUUCUCUAACCUUACACAUCUUACUUUAUUUGACCUCUCAGACAACUACUUAAACGGUUCGAUUCCAUCCUCUCUCUUAACCCUUCCACGUCUAAAUUCUCUGCUUCUCUAUAACAAUCUUCUCAGUGGUAAAAUACCAAAUGUGUUUCAUCAGUCAAACAUGUUUGAAGAAUUGUAUUUAGGUGGUAACAAUAUCCAAGGUGAACUGCCAUUAACAUUUUCAAAUCUUCAACACCUCAUUUACUUGGAUAUAUCACAUAACAAAUUAGAGGGACCUCUGCCCAACAAAAUAACUGGGUUUUCAAAUCUAACUGACUUUAGGUUGACUGACAACUUGCUAAAUGGUACAAUUCCUUCUUGGUGUUUCUCUUUGCCAUCGUUGGAGUCUUUACGUCUAUCGAGAAAUCAGUUCACGGGACGUGUACCUGCAAUCUCGUCGUAUUCCUUGUGGGAGCUGUAUUUGGAUGGCAACAAGCUACAGGGCAAUAUUUCAGGAUCACUUUUUAACCUUGUUAACCUGGCUAACUUACAGCUGUCAUCGAACAACUUCAGUGGUUCUGUCAAUUUUUCACUCUUCUCCAAGUUCCAAAAUCUGGAAACUCUUUACCUUUCAAAUUCAAGUCAAUUAUCACUAAACUUUGAAUCAAGCAUCAAUUAUAGUUUCUCCCGCUUACUGGAGUUGGACUUGUCUUCUAUGGGUUUAACCAAAUUUCCUAAAUUAUCCAGAAAAAUCCCAUUUUUGGAAACUCUCCUAUUGUCCGACAACAAGUUGAAUGGAAAAGUGCCCAAUUGGUUGCAUGAAAUGGACUCUUUAAGUCAUGUAAUGCUAGACCGAAACUUUUUGACAACACCAGUGGAUCAAUUCUCUAGAAACUACCAACUCAGCCAUCUUGAUAUAAGUUUCAAUUUACUCACUGGUGGUAUCUCUUCGUCAAUUUGUAAUGCAAGUACCCUUGAGGUUCUCGUGUUGUCCAACAACAAGUUGACUGGCAGCAUUCCAGAAUGCCUUGUGAGUUCACCCUCCCUUUCCUUUUUGAGUCUAGAAAGGAACAGACUUAAUGGAACUUUACCAAAUACCUUUGCAAACAACAGUCUCAAUAGUCUGCAACUCAAUGACAACCGAUUUGAAGGUCCUUUGCCAGAAUCUUUGUCCAACUGCAUGAUCCUUGAGGUUUUAAAUCUUGGCAACAAUCAACUGGAAGAUACAUUUCCCUAUUGGCUUCAAACUCUACUAGAGUUGAAAGUAUUGGUUUUGCGGGAUAACAAGUUGCACGGUCCUAUUUCCAAAUUCAACACCAAGUAUGGAUUUCCCAGUUUAAAUAUUUUUGAUNNNNNNNNNNNNNNNNNNNNNNNNNNNNNNNNNNNNNAAAAUCAAUGCAAACAGUACCCUUUUCAGUCUUUCUCAUAUGCAAUCACUCAACCUUGCUUUCAAUGACUUCUCCAACUCUCAAAUUCCAUCCACGAUAGGUGAGUUUAAGAGCCUCACACACCUCAACCUGUCUUUUUCAAACUUUGAAGGUGAAAUUCCUCCUCAAAUCUCACAUCUUUCCAAAUUACAAUCACUUGAUCUCUCUAUUGAUGAUGAGUUUCAGUUAAGAUGGGAAGAAGGCACAUGGAAGAGGAUGCUCCAAAAUGCAACCGAUUUAAGGGUGCUAGAUUUGACGCGUACUAAUUUGUCAUCAACUUCAACGAGGUCACUCAAUUUGUCUUCCUCCUUGAUCACUCUAAAUCUUAGAGGAACUGGGCUAAAGGGAGAGUUGUCAGAUGACAUUCUUUGUUUGCCAAAUCUACAACACCUAUGUUUAUCAGGUAAUUUUGACUUUCAUGGCCAACUUCAGGAUCUUAGUUGUGCUUCAUCUUCUCUGAAUGUCUUAGAAAUCUCAUCUUGUGAACUCGAUGGGCCAAUCCCUGAUUCUUUCUCUAACCUUACACAUCUUACUUUAUUCGACUUCUCAUACAACUACUUCAACGGUUCAAUUCCACCCUCUCUCUUAACCCUUCCACGUCUAAAUUCUCUGCUUCUCUAUGACAAUCUUCUCAGUGGUAAAAUACCAAAUGUGUUUCAUCAGUCAAACAGGUUCGAAGUAUUGAAUUUUAAUGGUAACAAUUUCCAAGGUGAACUGCCAUCAACAUUUUCGAAUCUUCAACACCUCAUUUACUUGGAUAUAUCAUUUAACAAAUUAGAGGGACCUCUGCCCAACAAAAUAACUGGGUUUUCAAAUCUAACAUCGUUAAUAUUGACCGACAACUUGCUAAAUGGUACAAUUCCUUCUUGGUGUCUCUCUUUGCCAUCGUUGAUGCUUUUAGAUUUAUCGUUUAAUCAGUUCACGGGGGGUAUACCUGCAAUCUCGUCAUAUUCCUUGCAGUUUCUAGUUUUGGAUGGCAACAAGCUACAGGGCAAUAUUUCAGAAUCAGUUUUUAACCUUGUCAACCUUACUCACUUACAGCUGUCAUCGAAUAACUUCAGUGGUUCUGUCAAUUUUUCACUCUUAUCCAAGUUCCAAAAUCUAGAAAUUCUUUACCUUUCAAAUUCAAGUCAAUUAUCACUAAACUUUGAAUCAAGCGUCAAUUAUAGUUUCUCCCGCUUACGGGAGUUGGACCUGUCUUCUAUGGGUUUAACCGAAUUUCCAAAAUUAUCAAGAAAAGUCCCAGUUUUGCAAGCUCUCNN